AUGGCUCAGGAUGAACGCUGGCGGCGUGCUUAACACAUGCAAGUCGAACGAAGAUGCCGGAGUGCUUGCACUUUGGCAGACUGAGUGGCGGACGGGUGAGUAACGCGUGGGUAACCUGCCUUAUACAGGGGGAUAACAGUUGGAAAUGACUGCUAAUACCGCAUAAGCGCACAGGAUUGCAUGAUCUGGUGUGAAAAACUCCGGUGGUAUAAGAUGGACCCGCGUCUGAUUAGCUGGUUGGUGAGGUAACGGCCCACCAAGGCGACGAUCAGUAGCCGACCUGAGAGGGUGACCGGCCACAUUGGGACUGAGACACGGCCCAAACUCCUACGGGAGGCAGCAGUAGGGAAUAUUGCACAAUGGGGGAAACCCUGAUGCAGCGACGCCGCGUGAGCGAAGAAGUAUUUCGGUAUGUAAAGCUCUAUCAGCAGGGAAGAAAAAAAUGACGGUACCUGACUAAGAAGCCCCGGCUAACUACGUG
rnacentral:rRNA from 1 species